rnacentral:rRNA from 1 species
GAGUUUGAUCGUGGCUCAGAUUGAACGCUGGCGGCAUGCCUUACACAUGCAAGUCGAACGGCAGCACGGGAGCUUGCUCCUGGUGGCGAGUGGCGAACGGGUGAGUAAUGCAUCGGAACGUAUCCUGGAGUGGGGGAUAACGUAGCGAAAGUUACGCUAAUACCGCAUAUUCUGUGAGCAGGAAAGCGGGGGACCUUCGGGCCCCGCGCUCUUGGAGCGGCCGAUGUCGGAUUAGCUAGUUGGUGAGGUAAAGGCUCACCAAGGCGACGAUCCGUAGCAGGUCUGAGAGGAUGAUCUGCCACACUGGAACUGAGACACGGUCCAGACUCCUACGGGAGGCAGCAGUGGGGAAUUUUGGACAAUGGGGGCAACCCUGAUCCAGCCAUGCCGCGUGAGUGAAGAAGGCC